ensembl:lncRNA
UGUACAUGUAAAUCCAACAUUGUUAUCAGGAACUAUUCCAAAGGUUAGAAAAACAGCUUAUGUGCUGCCACUCCAUAAGGCAGGGAUAGUCGUGAACUUGAUCAUUAUCGUCCCAUCUCCAGGCUUCCAUGUCUCGCUAAGAUUUUCAAAUAUUUGCACCAGGUCCGUAACCAGCACCACUACCAGGUAAACCACCUCCGGGUCUGUAUCCACCACCAGGCACUCCACCAGCACCAAGCCCAGCUCCAGGCCCUGCUCCCUGGCCAAGUCCAGUCCCAGCACCCACUCCUGGUCCAUAACCACCACCGGUUCCACGGCCAGGUCCAAAUCCAGCUCCAGGACCAUAACCACCAGGGACACCUCCACCACCACCAAGCCCAGAUCCAGGCACUCCACCCUGGCCUACUCCAGUCCCUGCUCCCCCUCCUGGUACUCCUCCCAGGCUGGCUGCCUGUCCUCCUCCUGGGGUCCCAAGGACACCACUUAGCAUACCUAUUAUUCUUGUCACUGAACAGGAAUACAAUUAUGUCUCCAGCUCCAGUUCCUUGUCCUUCCCCAGCUUCACCUGGUUCUUUGACUGAAUGUCUAUUUAAUGUGUAUAUUUAUGUUUAUCUAUACUUGUCUAUUGAUACACUUGUUUUGUAUGGUGCAGGGCUCAUUUGUAAAAGAGACUUUAGUAUCAAUAUGACUUCCCUGUUGAAAUUAAGUUAAAUAAAUAUAUCUACCUCAUUUACCUGGAACCCCUGCACAUCGACUUGGUAUUGGUACCCCGUCUAUAUAGCCAAGUUAUAUUGUUACUCAUUGUGUAUUUAUUCCUUGUGUUAUUAUUUUUCUGUUUUUCUCUCUGCAUUAUUGCGAAGGGCCUGUAAUUAAGCAUUUCAUUGUUAGCCAACACCUGUUUACGAAGAAUGUGACAAAUCAUAUUAGAUUUUUUGACCCACUGGUUUAAUGUACCUCCAACAC